rnacentral:rRNA from 1 species
UACGAAGGGGGCUAGCGUUGCUCGGAAUCACUGGGGCGUAAAGCGCACGUAGGCGGCUUUAUAAGUCGGGGGUGAAAGCCUGUGGCUCAACCACAGAAUUGCCUUCGAUACUGUAGAGCUUGAGACCGGAAAGAGGUAAGUGGAAACUGCGAGUGUAGAGGUGAAAAUUCGUAGAUAUUCGCAAAGAAACACCCAGUGGGCGAAAGGG